AGAGUUUGAUUAUGGCUCAGAACGAACGCUUGCUGCAUGCUUUAUACAUGCAAGUCGAACGGAGGCCCUAGCUUGCUAGGUGUCCUUAGUGGCGCACGGGUGAGUAACACGUGGGAACAUACCUCAUAGUACGGAAUAACUGCGGGAAACUGUAGCUAAUACCGUAUAUUCCAGUAAUGGGAAAGAUUUAUCGCUAUGAGAUUGGCCCGCGCAAGAUUAGUUUGUUGGUAAGGUAAUGGCUUACCAAGGCUACGAUCUUUAGCUGGUUUGAGAGGAUGAUCAGCCACACUGGGACUGAGACACGGCCCAGACUCCUACGGGAGGCAGCAGUAGGGAAUAUUGGACAAUGGGGGAAACCCUGAUCCAGCAAUGCAGCGUGAGUGACGAAGGCCUUAGGGUUGUAAAACUCUUUCAUCGGUGAGGAUAAUGACAGUAGCCGAAGAAGAAGGACCGGCUAAUUCCGUGCCAGCAGCCGCGGUAAUACGGAAGGUCCUAGCGUUGUUCGGAAUUACUGGGCGUAAAGCGCAUGUAGGCGGAACAGAAAGUUAGAAGUGAAAUCCCUGGGCUCAACCUAGGAAUUGCUUUUAAAACUUCUGUUCUGGAAUUCAGGAGAGGAAAAUGGAAUAUCCAGUGUAGAGGUGAAAUUCGUAGAUAUUGGAUGGAACACCAGUGGCGAAGGCGAUUUUCUGGACUGAUAUUGACGCUGAGAUGCGAAGGCAUGGGUAGCAAACGGGAUUAGAUACCCCGGUAGUCCAUGCAGUAAACGAUGGGUGCUAGUCGUCGGACUUAUGUUCGGUGUCGUAGCUAACGCGUUAAGCACCCCGCCUGGGGAGUACGGUCGCAAGAUUAAAACUCAAAUAAAUUGACGGGGACCCGCACAAGCAGUGGAGCAUGUGGUUUAAUUCGA
rnacentral:rRNA from 1 species